CUCUGAAACAUUGCACCUGUAAGCACUCCCUUGACUGGAACUAGCCAUAAGGGUUGUGAUGAAUGGAUAAGAAUGUGGCAAGGGCUGACCACAAAGUCUUUGAAAAGUCACCAGUAAAUACAGCUGAAGAGGUAUUUCCAAGUUCAAUCAUCUGCUAAGAACACCACUCCCUGCCAUCUCCUUCUGCGGAAGCACACAGGCCCCUGAACUCUAGCACGGUUGGUCGUGUGAAAAGCCUCUGAUUUCAGUGACAGAUCACCACAUUUCAAAAGGUUUCAGAGUCAAUCCACUGAGAUGAAUGCGGCAAAUUCACAUAACCGAGCUAUUGUUUCAAGUUGUCUGCAGACUUAGGAAGACGACACUGCACCAGUUAUAUUUGGUUUUCAUUGUCAAGGUUCUUUGUUGCCAUACGGGUAGAAAAUUUGUUUUUCUAAAAUGAAAGCCCAGUUUCUGGAACCCAAUUCUGCAGCCAGG